GUGUCAGCAGCCGCGGUAAUACGGAGGGUGCGAGCGUUGUCCGGAAUCAUUGGGCGUAAAGGGCGCGUAGGUGGCCUGGUAAGCGUGCGGUGAAAGCCUGGGGCUCAACCCCGGGUCGGCCGUGCGAACUGCUAGGCUUGAGCACUGUAGAGGCAGGCGGAAUUCCGGGUGUAGCGGUGGAAUGCGUAGAGAUCCGGAAGAACACCGGUGGCGAAGGCGGCCUGCUGGGCAGUUGCUGACACUGAGGCGCGACAGCGUGGGGAGCAAACAGGAUUAGAAACCCUCGUAGUCC
rnacentral:rRNA from 1 species